AUCUGCUCUAAAUGUUUUCCAUAUUAGUUCAGAGGCUUCUCUGGUUCCAAAUAGCCUAGCAGCAGAGCUGGGCUUAUGCUGAGAGGAACCCUGAGCAGGAAGAGGAAGGGAACGCGGGGCGCGGGGCGCGGCAGGCAGCACACCCGACAGACAGCACGACGGUAAGAGACUGACAAACAAAUGAACGGGAAAGAGAGAGAAAACCACCUCCCGAGAAGCUGAAGAAGAAGUGCUUGUCGCAUCUUCCUGAAAGAAGGUGAAGAAUGGGAGAAGGGAAGAAGGGAUCCGGAGGAAGAGAGAAGAGGAGCACCCUCCAUCAGAGAAGAAAGAGUUGUGUGUGGUCUCAUUGCUGGGCUUCCUCCUCUACUGCAUUACGUACCUACCAGAUGAGAGUACCUCCAUGCAAUUCAUCGCCAAGGACAUUGACUCAACACACCUCCAGGCUGUGUAAGGG